UACGUAGGGUGCGAGCGUUGCCCGGAUUUAUUGGGCGUAAAGGGCGCGUAGGCGGCCACGCACGUCCGUUGUGAAAUCGCCCGGCUCAACUGGGCGGGGUCGGCGGAUACGGCGUGGCUGGAGCAAGCUAGGGGGCAAUGGAAUUCCCGGUGUAGUGGUGGAAUGCGUAGAUAUGCGGAGGAACACCGAUGGCGAAGGCAAUCCCCUGGGCCUGCACUGACGCUCAUGCACGAAAGCGUGGGGAGCAAACAGG
rnacentral:rRNA from 1 species